rnacentral:rRNA from 1 species
AUACGUAGGUGGCAAGCGUUGUCCGGAAUUACUGGGUGUAAAGGGCGUGUAGGCGGGUAAUCAAGUCAGCUGUGAACUACCGAGGCUUAACCUCGGGGCUGCAUUUGAAACUGAAUAUCUUGAGUGCAGGAGAGGAAAGAGGAAUUCCUAGUGUAGCGGUGAAAUGGGUAGAUAUUAGGAGGAACACCAGUGGCGAAGGCGGUUUUCAGGACGGGAACUGACGCUGAGACCCGAAAGUAUGGGGAGCAAACGGGAUUUGAUACCCUGGUAGACCCGGCGGUAAACGGUGGAUACGAGGGGUGGGUGGGAUCGACGCCCUCUGUGCCGCAGUUAACACAAUCAGUAUCCCACCUGGGGAGUACGGCCGCAAGGUUGAAACUUAAAGGAAUUGACGGGG